CUUUGUCCUGCUUUUGAUAAUCAUAGAAUCCACAAUGAUUUCAGGUAUGGAAAACUUCCCAUCUGAACAAACAAAUCUGGUUUAUGUUGGGCACUGCAGAAAGAGAAACUCGAAGGAUCAGCAGAGGGGACAAGGAUGCAGAAGAAAUGAAAGAAGAGAAGAACUGAAGUUGAUAUGUAGUUUAGGAGUGGACAGUGAAGCAGAGGGUGAAAUCUGUGGAAGACAAAUGUUAGUGGAGACUGAAGAGUGUUUGUUUCUCAACAACCGACAUGGAAGGAUUCUCAGACAACGAGGAAGAUUGUAGUAUGCAAAAUUGGCACAAAACAGGCUAUUUCAUAUGACAAUGCCAUUGCCUGCAAUGAGUAAUGGAAAGCUGUAGACAGGCAGGAAACUUUAACCCUUUGUCUUGGGCGUAGGGUGCAUUUUUGGUCACCUCA